UACAGAGGGUGCAAGCGUUAAUCGGAAUUACUGGGCGUAAAGGGCGCGUAGGUGGUUGUGUAAGUGAGAUGUGAAAUCCCUGGGCUCAACCUAGGAAUGGCAUUUUAUACUGUACAGCUAGAGUACAUGAGAGGGUAGUGGAAUUUCCGGUGUAGCGGUGAAAUGCGUAGAUAUCGGGAAGAACACCAGUGGCGAAGGCGGCCGGCUGGGGGUGUCCUGACGCUGAGGCGCGAGAGCGUGGGGAGCAAACCGG
rnacentral:rRNA from 1 species